rnacentral:rRNA from 1 species
GAGUUUGAUCUUGGCUCAGGAUGAACGCUAGCGGCAGGCUUAACACAUGCAAGUCGAGGGGUAUAGGUUUUCGGACCUAGAGACCGGCGCACGGGUGCGUAACGCGUAUGUAAUCUACCUUUUACAGAGGGAUAGCCCAGAGAAAUUUGGAUUAAUACCUCAUAGUAUUAUUGAAUGGCAUCAUUUGAUAAUUAAAGUUCCAACGGUAAAAGAUGAGCAUGCGUCCCAUUAGCUAGAUGGUAAGGUAACGGCUUACCAUGGCGACGAUGGGUAGGGGUCCUGAGAGGGAGAUCCCCCACACUGGUACUGAGACACGGACCAGACUCCUACGGGAGGCAGCAGUGAGGAAUAUUGGUCAAUGGGCGCAAGCCUGAACCAGCCAUGCCGCGUGCAGGAUGACGGUCCUAUGGAUUGUAAACUGCUUUUGACGGGAAGAACACUCCUACGUGUAGGAGCUUGACGGUACCGUAAGAAUAAGGAUCGGCUAACUCCGUGCCAGCAGCCGCCGUAAG